CCUACGGGGGGCUGCAGUGGGGAAUAUUGGACAAUGGGCGAAAGCCUGAUCCAGCCAUGCCGCGUGUGUGAAGAAGGCCUUCGGGUUGUAAAGCACUUUCAGUGGGGAAGAAAGCCUUGGGGCUAAUACCCUCGAGGAAGGACAUCACCCACAGAAGAAGCACCGGCUAACUCCGUGCCAGCAGCCGCGGUAAUACGGAGGGUGCGAGCGUUAAUCGGAAUUACUGGGCGUAAAGCGCGCGUAGGCGGUCUGAUAAGCCGGUUGUGAAAGCCCCGGGCUCAACCUGGGAACGGCAUCCGGAACUGUCAGGCUAGAGUGCAGGAGAGGGAGGUAGAAUUCCCGGUGUAGCGGUGAAAUGCGUAGAGAUCGGGAGGAAUACCAGUGGCGAAGGCGGCCUUCUGGACUGACACUGACGCUGAGGUGCGAAAGCGUGGGUAGCAAACAGGAUUAGAUACCCUAGUAGUC
rnacentral:rRNA from 1 species